rnacentral:rRNA from 1 species
UACGUAGGGACCAAGCGUUGUUCGGAUUUACUGGGCGUAAAGGGCGCGUAGGCGGCGCGGUAAGUCACUUGUGAAAUCUCUGAGCUUAACUCAGAACGGCCAAGUGAUACUGCAGUGCUAGAGUGUGGAAGGGGCAAUCGGAAUUCUUGGUGUAGCGGUGAAAUGCGUAGAUAUCAAGAGGAACACCUGCGGCGAAGGCGGGUUGCUGGGCUGACACUGACGCUGAUGCGCGAAAGCCAGGGGAGCGAACGGG